UCUCCAUUUCGCAUGCUCUCUCGCGGGUCAGAGAGCUACGAGAGAGCAUGGAAAAUGAGGAGA
rnacentral:pre_miRNA from 1 species